CAGUCGCACUUGAGCAGUCAAAUAAUGUGUGUUGUAUUUUUAUUUGUGUUUUUUCUUAUAUUUUAUUAUUAUUGUAUUGUUUAAUUUUUGUAAGUGAGAAUUCACGUGAAGAGUAUGCAUUUCUUUUAUGUAAGUGACUAAAUAUUCUAUAUUCUUCAUGAAGAUUUAUCAGAAAAUUAUGAAUAAUUUGAUAUGUAAAUUGUGGGAGAUAUAAUCUCGAUGAAAAAGUGCAAUGUGAAGAUACGUUAGAGGAUUGAAUUAUACAGAGAAAUCAGCUUUCACGGAUGGAACGAGAUUUCAGUGGAACGAAUGAAGUUCAUUGCAGUGUCUGUCAAAGUUGAGAGAUUGCCCAUGUCAAAUGGUGAUAGUAAUGUCGUGCACAAUUUGGGAAUCGAUAGAAUCGAGUUACGGGACAAGCUGUCUUUUAUUUUCAUUCCUGCACACGAAAAUGUAUGAUAAAAUGCUGUAACAGGUGUUCAUACAUAGUCGAUUGCUCUUAGACGAAUGCACGUGCUUUCAACAACGAUGCUUUUCUCUACAAAGAAGCACACGACCCAGAAAAACCUCUGUUAAAAAAAGCGUGGAAGAGACGUAUCGAUCGUGGUUGCAGAAGAGACUAAUUAACAGUUUUCGUUUUUCAAAGAUGACACGUUGAAGAAACUUGUGAUUUUUCAUUCAUCAAUCAUCUUUCUUUAGAACAAUGUAUAAGUGUACAUAUGUAUAUAUUUUUGUAUAUUAUUAUUUUUCUAGUAUUGUUCUUGAAUGGUAAUGACUAUUUUUAUUUCACGGUACAGAAGGAAAAAUAUGAUUCUUUUCUCUUUUUUUUUUUAGUAAUCCGAAGUGAUUUAUCAACCGUUGGAAAAGAGCUUCUUUCUUGUUUAUUUCUUCGAGACUUCGAGACUGGUAUUUUGCAAGAAGAAUGUUGUUUUAUCGCUGUAGGUAAAGUAGAUAUCUGAAAGCUCUUAAAGACGACCUUUCAACAUUCUAGCUUACCAGUAGCUUUCGAGCUUGUUGAAAGUCAACUUCCGGCCACUUGGCGCACUUAAUCUUGGAAAGUAAAUGACCAAUAAGUACUUACUAAAAAAAAUUCGUUGAUAUUUUUGAAUAAUAUUUAAAAUUUAAUAAUCACAUAAAAUAAGUAAAAUAGUAUUACCUAAAUUUCUUUCAUUUUUAAAAUUUCAAAAAAAAAACAAAAAUUAUGAAUUUAUAAACAUAUAAACGAAUUGAAAAAAAUAAAAUAAUCAGGAUAAUAAUAAUAAAAAUAAAAUCAAAUAUAUGUUUAAUAUUAAAUCUAA